rnacentral:rRNA from 1 species
UACGGGGGGAGCAAGCGUUGUUCGGAUUUACUGGGCGUAAAGGGCGCGUAGGCGGUCAGCACAAGUCAAUUGUGAAAUCUCCGAGCUUAACUCGGAAAGGUCAACUGAAACUGUGCGACUAGAGUGCGGAAGGGGCAACUGGAAUUCCAGGUGUAGCGGUGAAAUGCGUAGAUAUCUGGAGGAACACCGGUGGCGAAGGCGGCAUCCUGGACCGACACUGACGCUGAGGCGCGAAAGCUAGGGUAGCAAACGGGG